CAGUCGAACGGAGCUGCUUUGAUGAAGUUUUCGGAUGGAUUUAAAACAGCUUACCGUUGGACGGGUGAGUAACGCGUGGGUAACCUGCCUCACACUGGGGGAUAACAGUUAGAAAUAGCUGCUAAUACCGCAUAAGCGCACAGUUCCGCAUGGAACAGUGUGAAAAACUCCGGUGGUGUGAGAUGGACCCGCGUCUGAUUAGCCAGUUGGCGGGGUAACGGCCCACCAAAGCGACGAUCAGUAGCCGGCCUGAGAGGGUGAACGGCCACAUUGGGACUGAGACACGGCCCAAACUCCUACGGGAGGCAGCAGUGGGGAAUAUUGCACAAUGGGGGAAACCCUGAUGCAGCGACGCCGCGUGAGUGAAGAAGUAUUUCGGUAUGUAAAGCUCUAUCAGCAGGGAAGAAAGUGACGGUACCUGAAUAAGAAGCCCCGGCUAACUACGUGCCAGCAGCCGCGGUAAUACGUAGGGGGCAAGCGUUAUCCGGAUUUACUGGGUGUAAAGGGAGCGUAGACGGCAAGGCAAGUCUGAAGUGAAAGCCCGGUGCUUAACGCCGGGACUGCUUUGGAAACUGUUUAGCUGGAGUGCCGGAGAGGUAAGCGGAAUUCCUAGUGUAGCGGUGAAAUGCGUAGAUAUUAGGAAGAACACCAGUGGCGAAGGCGGCUUACUGGACGGUAACUGACGUUGAGGCU
rnacentral:rRNA from 1 species